GGACUGGGACUUGACAGUGACUUCAGGAAGGGAGGUUUUCAGGACGAGCCUCUGACUGUCAGAAGUAAAGGUAAUGAAUGAAUGGACUGGGACUUGACAGUGACUUCAGGAAGGGAGGUUUUCAGGACGAGCCUCUGACUGUCAGAAGUAAAGGUAAUGAAUGAAUGGACUGGGACUUGACAGUGACUUCAGGAAGGGAGGUUUUCAGGACGAGCCUCUGACUGUCAGAAGUAAAGGUAAUGAAUGAAUGGACUGGGACUUGACAGUGACUUCAGGAAGUAUUCACACCCCUUGACUUGGUCCACAUGUUGUGAGUCUGAAUUUAAAAUUGAGGUUUUAUGUCACUGGCCUUACACAACACCCCAUAAUGUCGGUGUAAUUAUGUUAUGAGAUUUUUUGUUUUCUUUUUGAAAUUCAUAAAAUAAAUGAAUUGCUGAAGUGACUUUGGUCAAUAACU